rnacentral:rRNA from 1 species
GUAGGUGGCAAGCGUUGUCCGGAAUUAUUGGGCGUAGAGCGCGCGCAGGCGGUUCUUUAAGUCUGAUGUGAAAGCCCACGGCUCAACCGUGGAGGGUCAUUGGAAACUGGAGAACUUGAGUACAGAAGAGGAAAGCGGAAUUCCACGUGUAGCGGUGAAAUGCGUAGAGAUGUGGAGGAACACCAGUGGCGAAGGCGGCUUUCUGGUCUGUAACUGACGCUGAGGCGCGAAAGCGUGGGGAGCAAACAGGAUUAGAUACCCUGGUAGUCCACGCCGUAAACGAUGAGUGCUAAGUGUUAGGGGGGUUUCCGCCCCCCUUAGUGCUGCAGCUAACGCAUUAAGCACUCCGCCCUGGGAGUACGGCCGCAAGGCUG